rnacentral:rRNA from 1 species
UGGGGAAUAUUGGACAAUGGGCGCAAGCCUGAUCCAGCCAUGCCGCGUGCAGGAAGAAGCAUCUAUGGUGUGUAAACUGCUUUUGUACGGGAAGAAACACUCCUUCGUGAAGGAGCUUGACGGUACCGUAAGAAUAAGGAUCGGCUAACUCCGUGCCAGCAGCCGCGGUAAUACGGAGGAUCCAAGCGUUAUCCGGUAUCAUUGGGUUUAAAGGGUCCGCAGGCGGUUUAGUAAGUCAGUGGUGAAAGCCCAUCGCUCAACGAUGGAACGGCCAUUGAUACUGCUAGACUUGAAUUAUUAGGAAGUGACUAGAAUAUGUAGUGUAGCGGUGAAAUGCUUAGAUAUGACAUAGAAUACCAGUAGCGAAGGCAGGUUACUACUAAUGGAUUGACGCUGAUGGACGAAAGCGUGGGGAGCGAACA